rnacentral:rRNA from 1 species
GAUGAACGCUGGCGGCGUGCCUAAUACAUGCAAGUCGAGCGAACAGACGAGGAGCUUGCUCCUCUGACGUUAGCGGCGGACGGGUGAGUAACACGUGGAUAACCUACCUAUAAGACUGGGAUAACUUCGGGAAACCGGAGCUAAUACCGGAUAAUAUAUUGAACCGCAUGGUUCAAUAGUGAAAGACGGUUUUGCUGUCACUUAUAGAUGGAUCCGCGCCGCAUUAGCUAGUUGGUAAGGUAACGGCUUACCAAGGCGACGAUGCGUAGCCGAUCUGAGAGGGGGAUCGGCCACACUGGAACUGAGACACGGUCCAGACUCCUACGGGAGGCAGCAGUAGGGAAUCUUCCGCAAUGGGCGAAAGCCUGACGGAGCAACGCCGCGUGAGUGAUGAAGGUCUUCGGAUCGUAAAACUCUGUUAUUAGGGAAGAACAAAUGUGUAAGUAACUAUGCACGUCUUGACGGUACCUAAUCAGAAAGCCACGGCUAACUACGUG